UAUGUGAUCGUCUCUCGCAUAUCAAUAAGCGGAGGAAAAGAAACUAACAAGGAUUCCCCUAGUAACGGCGAGUGAAGCGGGAAGAGCUCAAAUUUGAAAUCUUAAAGGGUUUCCCUUUACGAAUUGUAGUUUAAAGAAGUGUUUUCUGUUGAGGUUUUGGUAAAAGUUCUUUGGAAUAGGACAUCAUAGAGGGUGAGAAUCCCGUAUUUGACCUUUACUUUCAACUUUGUGAUACACUUUCAAAGAGUCGGAUUGUUUAGGAAUGCAGUCCAAAAUGGGUGGUAAAUUUCAUCUAAAGCUAAAUAUUGGCGAGAGACCGAUAGCGAACAAGUACCGUGAGGGAAAGAUGAAAAGAACUUUGAAAAGAGAGUUAAACAGUACGUGAAAUUGUCAAAAGGGAAGCGUUUGACACCAGUGUUGUUUUUCUGAAAAUCAAUUAAAGAACUGUUUAUGCUAAGCUGUUUAGACUUUAUCAGCUAACUGUUUAGUUUUGAGCUUUUCUUUAAUGCACUUUUCAGUUAACAAGUCAACAUCAAUUUCUUUUGCUGUAAAAAAGCUUGAGGAAGGUGGCUUGAGAUUCGUCUUAAGUGUUUAUAGCCUCUUGCCUAUGCAGUCGGAGAGAUUGAGGUCUGCAGCGUAGAUCCUUCGGGGCUAAAUGCAUUUGUGCUAAGUUAUAGCAUUUUAUAGACAACUUGUUGACUAUGAUUUGUCUUGUAGCUUACUCGCUUAUGUUAUUUUACCUACGCUUAGGAUGUUGACACACGCGCGUGCUCG
rnacentral:rRNA from 1 species